rnacentral:lncRNA from 1 species
CGGCCGCGUCACGCCGGGCUGCGGGCUCGGCGCCGCCCGGGUCCCGGAGCCGAGGCGGGAUGAAGAACUGCGGGAUGCGAUCCGGGGUGAGGACGUUGGGGCAGACGCGCCUGGCUGGGCCCGGGGCGCUGCGCUUAGAGAACAGGCUGGAGGGCGCCCACCGGGCCCUGGACUCCGCAGUCCCCACCCUGUAGCCAACUUUCUCCAAGAGCCACAUGCGGGUCUUUGGAUUCAGGCAGAGCUGCUCCCUUGAGUGAGGACUCAGAGUGCUGCCUCCUCCCCUCCCUCUGCACCAUUGCUGCCACCCCUCGAGAACUUCUCAAAUGACCCAGGGGCCGUCUCUUGCUGGUGCCGUUGUAGAAGGACACUUAAGAGCCUGGGCAGUACAGAGUGCUUUCCUGGGUCCACGCCAGCUGGACCUUUCCUCCAGCCCCAGCUCCAGAUCCUGGACCCCUAGCUUAGGCCUGAAGCCGGCCAAAUCUUUCACCUGGCCCCUGGAUGCCAACACCCAGCAUGACUUUGGAGGUCAGGUGCAGGAUAUGGUGGAGCUUUGUCAGCGAGGCUCCUGAAUGACUCCUAGACACCACCAGCUGGACUUUCUGUGAGUAAGAAAUACAUUCCUUUGAAGAUGGAUAUUAAGCUAUGGAGAUUUAAAAAUUUAUCCACUUUAGCAUUUGGCUUUGCUGUACCUAAUAAUAAAAUCCUUUAUGAUAUGGCCC